CAAAUUCAUAUCUAAGGGAGU
rnacentral:miRNA from 1 species